CUUGCAGUUUGAUCUCAGACUGCUGUGCUAGCAAUCAGGGAGACUCCGUGGGGUAGGACCCUCUGAGCCAGAGUAUCUGACUGUCUUCUCUCAGAUGAUUGCAUUUCAUGAUCCAGAGCUGAGUAAUCAUCUCAAUGAGAUUGGUUUCAUUCCAGAUCUCUAUGCCAUCCCUUGGUUUCUUACCAUGUUUACUCAUGUAUUUCCACUACACAAAAUUUUCCACCUCUGGGAUACCUUACUACUUGGGAAUUCCUCUUUCCCAUUCUGUAUUGGAGUAGCAAUUCUUCAGCAGCUGCGGGACCGGCUUUUGGCUAAUGGCUUUAAUGAGUGUAUUCUUCUCUUCUCCGAUUUACCAGAAAUUGACAUUGAACGCUGUGUGAGAGAAUCUAUCAACCUGUUUUGUUGGACUCCUAAAAGUGCUACUUACAGACAGCAUGCUCAACCUCCAAAGCCAUCUUCUGACAGCAGUGGAGGCAGAAGUUCGGCACCUUAUUUCUCUGCUGAGUGUCCAGAUCCUCCAAAGACAGAUCUGUCAAGAGAAUCCAUCCCAUUAAAUGACCUGAAGUCAGAAGUAUCACCACGGAUUUCAGCA
rnacentral:lncRNA from 1 species